CUCUCUCUGUAAUUGUGGUAUUUGUCGAAAACACAUUUGCUACUUUUAUUAUAAUUGUCUUAUUUUUCGAAAUAACCUUUUGUUAUUUUCUCGAAUUGUAAUGGGUUUAUAGUAAUGGUUUUGUGAUAUGAGGUUUUUUUUUUUGGUAUUGUUAUCAAUCUAAUGGAAGGUUUGUAGUAUUGGUGUUUGUGGAAAACUAUUCCUGAAUCUCCAUAUUUUCUAUCAGUGCACAUACUUCUCUUUUCCCUUUUAUCCUUCACUAUAUUCACCUUUCAUGUCAAUCCUUUUUCAACUUUAAUUGUGACAUCUCCUUGAAUAUUUAUCUGUAUUAAUACAAACUAUUUUUUUUUUCUCUGUGUUGACAGAAGAAGAUAACCGUCCACUAGCUGGGACUGUUAGCUAGGAGAGGUAAUACAAUUGAAGAGGAUGAGAGUGAUGACUAGGAAUGUGCAGAGCACAUAAUGUUAGUGGAUUUGGGGCGGAACGAUGUUGGAAGGCACCACUUUCAUGCAUCAGUGAUUCUUUGAAGACAACCACAUGCAUUUUUACAAUCAAGGGCGCCAGUGAGGAAUCCAAUGAAAUGGACUUGAUCCCUCUCAAAUGACAUAUUUGCUCGACUUUCAUACUUUUAAUCAAAGAAUCUUUCUCUUCAA